rnacentral:misc_RNA from 1 species
UCCGGCUUACACCGGCGGUCUCCUGUAAGUGCCCGACUCUCUCGCUGGUAACACAGGACGUGGGUUGCGCUCGUUGGCGGACUUAACCGUACACCUCACGGCACGAGCUGACGACAGCCAUGCAACAAGUGUCUUCAGGUCCCUUGUGGGGAGGGCCAAAUUUCUUUGGCUUGCCAUCGAUGUCAAAUCUGGGUAAGGUUCUUCGGUUAGUAUCGAAUUAAACCACAUGCUCCACCGCUUGUGCGGGUCCCCGUCAAUUCAUUUGAGUUUCAACCUUGCGGCCGUAGUCCCCAGGCGGGAUACUUAAUGCGUUAGCUGCGGCACCGGAGGGGUCGAUACCUCCGACGCCUAGUAUCCAUCGUUUAGGGCGUGGACUAC